AAAGGUGUGAAAUAACUUCCCCAUGUUUAGUUAUUAUACACAGAGGCAGAGUUUGAACUUCAUUCUGUGGGCCUCAAACACCUAGUAUUCCAAACAGCACUUCCAGAGCUGGGUACCCAGAUAAACAGGAAAGAACCUCUAGUUAAAUUAGUGCAAGAGGUGCACAGGUAGACUAUUCCCCCGCCUCCAUUUGGUGACAUUUGAAUUUUGAUUACUAGCUAGUUUCAGGAAAUAUUUCACCAGAAAUUUUACUGACACCAUGUUUUAUAUUGCUUUAAUAGAUCAAAACCUUCUGAUUUGGGGUUUCUUGGGGGGAAAAUCUCAAUAAAUCACUGCAAAAUCCUUUAGAAAUGCCUUUUUGAUGGAAGUGUCUUUAACUUGAGUUGAGAGAGGGAACCUUGUCUCUUCUUCUGUAGCUUUUGGAAGGCUUCUGCUCUCUUUGUGGUUAGACACGCUGUUGGCAUUUUUUCCUUCCAGGGAGACCUUCUGAACAGCAGCAUUCAGGUUGUCAGAACUUCCUCCCUGCCUGGGACUGCAAUGUGAGAGAUUAUAGUAUACUGUUUGCUACUGGGCUUGAAUGAUUAUAGCAAUACAUCCAAUGUCUAUUCUAAACAGAAAUGAAUCAAAGAAUGAAUAAAUGGAAGAUAUCUCAUCAAGACAGGAAAAUAAUGGUAGCCAAAUGAGAUUCAUAUUUGGAGAAAAAGCAUGGAGGGCAAUCAUAUUCACACUUUGGGUUACUUAUCAUUUCUAAGUC
rnacentral:lncRNA from 10 species